rnacentral:rRNA from 1 species
UACGUAGGGGGCAAGCGUUAUCCGGAAUUAUUGGGCGUAAAGAGUACGUAGGUGGCAACCUAAGCGCAGGGUUUAAGGCAAUGGCUCAACCAUUGUUCGCCCUGCGAACUGGGAUGCUUGAGUGCAGGAGAGGAAAGCGGAAUUCCUAGUGUAGCGGUGAAAUGCGUAGAUAUUAGGGGGAACACCAGUGGCGAAGGCGGCUUACUGGACUGUAACUGACGUUGAGGCUCGAAAGCGUGGGGAGCAAACAGG